rnacentral:rRNA from 1 species
CCUACGGGAGGCAGCAGUGGGGAAUAUUGGGCAAUGGGCGCAAGCCUGACCCAGCAACGCCGCGUGAAGGAAGAAGGCUUUCGGGUUGUAAACUUCUUUUCUGAGGGACGAAGCAAGUGACGGUACCUCAGGAAUAAGCCACGGCUAACUACGUGCCAGCAGCCGCGGUAAUACGUAGGUGGCAAGCGUUAUCCGGAUUUACUGGGUGUAAAGGGCGUGUAGGCGGGAAAGCAAGUCAGAUGUGAAAACUAAGGGCUCAACCCAUAGCCUGCAUUUGAAACUGUUGUUCUUGAGUGCUUGAGAGGCAAUCGGAAUUCCGUGUGUAGCGGUGAAAUGCGUAGAUAUGCGGAGGAACACCAGUGGCGAAGGCGGAUUGCUGGACAGUAACUGACGCUGAGGCGCGAAAGCGUGGGGAGCAAACAGGAUUAGAUACCCGAGUAGUC